CGGUGAUGGCAAGCAUAACGGUCGUAGCUUCUUACCGGUCCUCGUGACCGCGCCCCCUGGGCAUACCUAUGAGCGAAAGUCCCUGAACCUGGAAACUCUGGUAGAAAGUACCCUCACGCAGUCUGGGCAGUCGGACAAUGUCUCGGUCAACGCCACGAUAUGAGCGGGCCGGGACGCGUCCGAUGAUCGUUCAAGCAAAGUGACGUAUGUGAUAAACAGCAUAGGGCUUACUCUGCCAAUCACU
rnacentral:RNase_MRP_RNA from 1 species